CCUACGGGGGGCAGCAGUGAGGAAUAUUGGUCAAUGGACGAGAGUCUGAACCAGCCAAGUAGCGUGAAGGAUGACUGCCCUAUGGGUUGUAAACUUCUUUUAUAUGGGAAUAAAAUGUUCCACGUGUGGGAUUUUGUAUGUACCAUAUGAAUAAGGAUCGGCUAAGUCCGUGCCAGCAGCCGCGGUAAUACGGAGGAUCCGAGCGUUAUCCGGAUUUAUUGGGUUUAAAGGGAGCGUAGGUGGAUUGUUAAGUCAGUUGUGAAAGUUUGCGGCUCAACCGUAAAAUUGCAGUUGAAACUGGCAGUCUUGAGUACAGUAGAGGUGGGCGGAAUUCGUGGUGUAGCGGUGAAAUGCUUAGAUAUCACGAAGAACUCCGAUUGCGAAGGCAGUUCACUGGACUGCAACUGACACUGAGGCUCGAAAGUGUGGGUAUCAAACAGGAUUAGAUACCCCAGUAGUC
rnacentral:rRNA from 1 species